CGCGUCAUCCUCACGUAACUUCUUUCAUCCCGGGUUGUUGUUAUUGCUCCUAGGUCUGGCCGAUCUCCCGUGAGGCGUUGAAAGGGAAACCCGACGGAGGAGCCCGAGAUGAAAGCGCCCUGCUUCUGCCCGAGCAGAGGAGAAUGGGGAGCGGUACGCGUGGCACCAUCUCAGUCCGGCCCCGGGGGCUAGAGUUUGACAAAGACUGGGAUAAUGGUUGAGUGCUGCAGCUAUCCAGAGCAUUGUUACGCGGAUACGAAGAUCCAGGACGGCUGCUUCACUUCACCUUCGUGUCUUCUGAAGCUGUUGUACGUCAAGAGGAGCCCAGUUCUGGGGACGCGUUUGGAGGCAGCUCAGCAACCAGUUGAGGCCUAACCCUUGUUGUUUCCCCGUGCCCUGAUCCCUGAUAAAACAGAGCAGGCUCCUGCUAAGCUGUGUGUGUUAGGGGUGGGCGGCUUUCUUUUAUUUAAGCCUGGUUGAGAUCUGAAUGGAUACUGACUGGUAGAAUAAAUAACCCCAGAAACCCCUUUGUGAAGAAAAGCAGCCACGUACCCCGCGUUGAGCCAAAGGUCUCACACCUCCAGCUAGCUGUGCUCUGUCCAGCAGCGUUUCAGUUGACUUGCACAGAAUCCACGUAGUCACUCUUUCCCCGGGGGCUCUGGCGUGCAGACAUCUGAGUCGAGUCUGUGUUUUCUGGCAGCAGGAGCAAGGUCAAGCCAGUUUGGCCCACAUCAUUUUUUUUUUAAAUUGUAAUGGAAAAAGGAUCCAGUCUGAGUCUUGCUGGAAACAGAAGUUUUUCACUUAGUUACAGCUGAGUACAGCCACGCUUCCUGGCUCCCUCCCUCCCCUGGGUCUCGUAGCAUAAUCGAAUUAUUAAAUAAUUGCAAUAAAAGUACACUUUGCCCUGGCAAAAUAGGACUGACUGAAGCCUGUUGGUAGGACAGAUAUUUUUAUGCCAUCCUUGUCCCGUUCCUGCCAAAAUAAGGUGGGUUUUUUUUUUUUUGGAUUCUCUUGUCAGCGUUUGGAUUUGUGACCUGAUCCUUUAAAACAUUCCUCCCAGCCUAGGCAGUGCUCUCCGGCUGCCUGGCACCGCUGUUAACGCCUCUCUUCCUAAUCAAUCACGUCCACCGCGAGCUUCCUUAAAGGAAAACUCUGCUCAGGUUGUUCAGUCCGACGGCACAGACUUUCACAGGUGUAAGAACAAAACCUGUUUGGCACAACGAAUCCCACUGGUGUGGGAAGAGGAGGAGAAACUCUGAUCCCUUCUGGCGUUUCUGGGACUAUGCAGGCAGUUCUUGCCUUAAAACUGGCUGCGGUGCCACGGACAACCAGCUGCAGACGCUUCGUAGCCCAGUUCCUGGCUGACAUAAAUGUCUUGGUUGUAGUAAGAACGUUGGGGAUAUUAACAGCAACUUGUGUGUGUAGGGGGGGCAGAAUUUGGCUUUACUUGCUCCGCUAAUUAAAAAGCAGUCCCAAAUCGCCGUGUUCUGCGCCUCGGGCACUAGCGGAGGGAGAGGAGUGGGUGCUUAGGAUGUGCCUCGCGCUUAGGUCCUAAGUGAAAAUAGGGCGCAGGUGGCGGGAACCCAGUGUCACCCCCACGCUAAAGGGUGGAGGACCCCUGGAGGUUGUGCUGGAGGCUGGGAAAACGAGGAGCGAGAGAAGAUUGUAGCAGGAGAAGGGGGAGCUAGGCAGGAGUCAGAACCAGAGCUAGGCAAAAAGAUUUGGGAGAGCGAGAAGCUACUGCCGGGUUGGUACGUGGAGUGACCCCGUUCCCGGGGUGCUCUGGUUUACAGGAGUAUCAAACGUGCCGUCAGUUUGGCAGGACCUCUGUUCACUCAGCUUUAUCUUUAUCUUAAACCGAAGGAGCUGAAGAAACCCCGAGCUGGAUAUCAGCCGCCGAUACCAAACGGCCGGAGAAGGGGGAGGGCGUAGCUGGAGGAGGCGUAUCACGAGCUGGGACCGGCGGCUUUUAUCAGCUUUUGUUACGAGAUGAGAUCGCUCUGCUUUAUUCCUCUAGCUAGAGAAAAAUAUGUAGGCAAAUAAGUGAUGCUUGGGGUGUGCAGAGAUACCGAUUUCGGGGGCUCGUGUCCUGUUUGAGGUGCGGUGCAGCAACAUGGCUCUUCCUGGGGUAAGGUUUCCGUGCCAGCUGGAACUGCCGACGUCCUUUAAAACUCCUGUUUUUGUAAUUAUUCGUGGCAAAAAAUGGUCUCUUCCCACGCGACCUCCUGGCGUACUGCGCUCUGAGGUGAGCCGAGUAGGUUUUUUUUCCUCCAGCGCCGGAAUUUUUUCCUGAUUGCCUUGUGCCGGUCGAUAC